GGAGAGAUGCCCGAGUGGUUUAAGGAACACGCCUGGAAAGUGUGUAAGUUUUAAAAAACUUCGGGGGUUCAAAUCCCCCUCUCUCCG
rnacentral:tRNA from 1 species